rnacentral:rRNA from 1 species
CUAUAAUGCAAGUCGAACGCACAGCGAAAGGUGCUUGCACCUUUCAAGUGAGUGGCGAACGGGUGAGUAACACGUGGACAACCUGCCUCAAGGCUGGGGAUAACAUUUGGAAACAGAUGCUAAUACCGAAUAAAACUUAGUGUCGCAUGACACAAAGUUAAAAGGCGCUUCGGCGUCACCUAGAGAUGGAUCCGCGGUGCAUUAGUUAGUUGGUGGGGUAAAGGCCUACCAAGACAAUGAUGCAUAGCCGAGUUGAGAGACUGAUCGGCCACAUUGGGACUGAGACACGGCCCAAACUCCUACGGGAGGCUGCAGUAGGGAAUCUUCCACAAUGGGCGAAAGCCUGAUGGAGCAACGCCGCGUGUGUGAUGAAGGCUUUCGGGUCGUAAAGCACUGUUGUAUGGGAAGAACAGCUAGAAUAGGAAAUGAUUUUAGUUUGACGGUACCAUACCAGAAAGGGACGGCUAAAUACGUGCCAGCAGCCGCGGUAAUACGUAUGUCCCGAGCGUUAUCCGGAUUUAUUGGGCGUAAAGCGAGCGCAGACGGUUUAUUAAGUCUGAUGUGAAAGCCCGGAGCUCAACUCCGGAAUGGCAUUGGAAACUGGUUAACUUGAGUGCAGUAGAGGUAAGUGGAACUCCAUGUGUAGCGGUGGAAUGCGUAGAUAUAUGGAAGAACACCAGUGGCGAAGGCGGCUUACUGGACUGCAACUGACGUUGAGGCUCGAAAGUGUGGGUAGCAAACAGGAUUAGAUACCCUGGUAGUCCACACCGUAAACGAUGAACACUAGGUGUUAGGAGGUUUCCGCCUCUUAGUGCCGAAGCUAACGCAUUAAGUGUUCCGCCUGGGGAGUACGACCGCAAGGUUGAAACUCAAAGGAAUUGACGGGGACCCGCACAAGCGGUGGAGCAUGUGGUUUAAUUCGAAGCAACGCGAAGAACCUUACCAGGUCUUGACAUCCUUUGAAGCUUUUAGAGAUAGAAGUGUUCUCUUCGGAGACAAAGUGACAG